GGAAGACUGACAUAUAUAACUCGGCUUCUCACAGCUCGGGGACAUUUUUCCUUCCCUGACAACAUCCCUAAUCUACUACUACUCUUCAUCAUCUUCCUCUAUCAUCUCAUAAUCAAGCUUAGUGUCUUAUAGACAGAAUGNAUAGGAACUGUUGCUCCUGACAUCUCCCAGAAUCUAAGGCUUCCUUACCAUGCAUGACACUGCUUCGUCUACUCGUGUAGUACGUGCUUGACGAUAUAGCGACUGUGAAGUCUUUUGAACCGGUCUUUUGAUCAUCCGAAAUCUGCUGUUUUCUCGGCUGACGUUCCUGUCAUUUUUGCUGCCGGCGAUAAAGAUUCGUUUUUGAGUCAAACUGUUCGCCAUCUGAUAAUAUUGUACACAAGUUAUUUGCCAGGCGAUAAUUCAGUCCAAUGAGCCGUCCUUAUUAUUUUUUCAUUGGUUGACGUAAUAUGCGCUGUUUAAAGGGCAGUGAAAAUUCUUUAUAGAUAAAAGAAUCAUUAAUUUAGCACGUCUCAGUUGGGCUGACAAGAAGUCUCGUUCUUUUAGGCAGCGAAGGUUUACGAUCUGACACGUUCAAAACCGACGUCGCUCGACAGCUUAUAAACUAAAUCUCGAGCCGCUAGUCUUUCUCAUUUUACAUUCAUUGCAGCACGUCUCUCUUUGCAAAUGUACUCAAGGCCAAGUCUCUUCUGCUAAUCUUUGAAAGAUUCUCACAGACAAAAAUACUUUAAACUCAAGAAAGAACUAACGAAAAAGUUGCUGCUUGGUUGUUACUACGAAGCAAAAACUAUCAAAAAAAAAAAAAAAAAAAACAACCCGUUCUCUUCUUGGAAGAAUUCAAAAUGAAGGUGCAAGGCGUUUUCGAAACAAAAUGUGUCUUGCUGUGCACAUUGUCUUUACUCGGCAGUACGAACUUUGCUGACUCCAAAGGUCUUAAAACGCGACCCAAAAAUAUAAAGCCACACAAUAUGCAUGGUUACAACGUGGGAGAAGUGUUGUCCUACCAUUCAGUCGUCAGCCUUCUACAGUGUGAGGAUUUGUGUCUCCGACGACAACCACAGUGUCUUGGUUUUAACUAUCACUUCUGUGAAGAGGAACGACUUUGCCAACUGCUUGGAAGUAUUGGCGAAACACAAAAGAAUGAUUGUGUGACGUAUGUAAAGUUUCAUUAUGGAAAAGUACAGAAAAGAUUACUUCAAGGAUGUNCUUGUUCAGAACGAACCAGACGUAUUAUCCCGCCAAACCAUGAAAAAUGACAUUUGAGCCUGUGAUAUUCGUGUCUGAAAAGAGCAAACCAGAGGAAACAAGAAUUAAUGGUUUUUAUCUAUUCAACCGAUGACAGCAAUAUUUAUCUAGUUGAUAUACGUUAGCUAGUGCGAAUUCGACCAAGACAAAAGAUUGAAUAUUGAACGAGUGCAAGACUGUAGGAGAUGGAAUAUACCUCAUCGGAGCGAGGAGUCGCUUAUGAUCAAACAAAAAUUGUCUGAAUGUAUUUAUCAAUAUUCCCAAUAUCCAUUAAUAGGUUAUAAGAAUGUUGCUUUAGAAAACGUUUUUUCAUAGUUGCGCCGGCUCAAGUAAUUUUCGGCAAGGAAAAGGCUGCACUUUGAUAUCAUCUCACUCCUCAGUGAGUCCGGUGACCACAGAGAAGUAAGUUAUUUGUCAAACUUCGAUUCCAUUCUAUGAUAGUCUUUUUUCGCUAUGCAAAGUUUGAGCAGGAAGGAAAAACUUGGGAAACUCAUUUGCCCGCGGACGAUCCCGUCCUCGAUCCCCGCCAAAGUCUGUUUCUAGAAUGGCCAGAUUAAUAACUUUACCCGCGCGAUUUGGGGUGACGCACAAAGGGUAAAUGAUUAUUACUUUAGAUUAGAAAUAUUAAUAGUGAAGAGGUUCUGGAGCGCAUGCAGGAGUAUAAAAUAGCGGACGCAACUUUGCGCAUUUGUUUAGUAAGAUGUCAGAAGAAUAAGUGAAUUCUUGUAAAGGUUUUGAAUUUGUAAAAUAAACCAAUUGAUAUUUGUGAAAUAAUAAUUUUUUGGGUUUCUCGAAAGAAUGCAAAAUUUUUAUUGUGCUCUCGAGCGUACUCUCAAGCAGUGUUCGCACGCGCCGGGAUGAUGCUUGCAGAACAGCAAAAUCAAUUUGCAACGGAGAUUGGAGACGUACGAUAAGUGACGAUAAAGGAAGGAAUAGACGGAUAGAAAUGCUUUAUCAAAUAAGAGAAAAAGUUGAAAAUAAAUAGAUUUUAAUAUUUGA
rnacentral:misc_RNA from 1 species